rfam:Oryza meridionalis cultivar OR44 (W2112) chromosome 3, whole genome shotgun sequence.
AAUAAGCGCAAUCACAAAUUUUUGAUCGUUCGUCUUAUUUAAAAUUUGUUUAUGAUUGACAUUUUCAUUAUUAUUAGACGGUAAAACAUGAAUAAUACUCCAUGUGUGACUUAUGUUUUUUAUUUUUUUAAAAAAAAUCAAAUAAGACGUACGAUUAAAAUUGGGCAAGAAAACUAAUGAUUGCGCUUAUU